rnacentral:rRNA from 1 species
UGGGGAAUAUUGCACAAUGGGCGCAAGCCUGAUGCAGCCAUGCCGCGUGUGUGAAGAAGGCCUUCGGGUUGUAAAGCACUUUCAGCGAGGAGGAAGGUGGUGAGCUUAAUACGUUCAUCAAUUGACGUUACUCGCAGAAGAAGCACCGGCUAACUCCGUGCAUGCCAGCCAGCCGGCUAUGUAAUCAGGCAGGGGUGACGGAAUGGCCAAGGCUUAAGUUUCGGAAAAUUUCAGGAAUUCACUUGGGGGGCCGGUUAAAAAAGGCCGGCCACGCA